AGAGUGAACGCUGGCGGUAGGCCUAACACAUGCAAGUCGAACGGCAGCACAGGAGAGCUUGCUCUCUGGGUGGCGAGUGGCGGACGGGUGAGGAAUACAUCGGAAUCUACCUUUUCGUGGGGGAUAACGUAGGGAAACUUACGCUAAUACCGCAUAAGACCUUCGGGUGAAAGCCGGGGACCUUCGGGCCUGGCGCGGAUAGAUGAGCCGAUGUCGGAUUAGCUAGUUGGUGAGGUAAUGGCUCACCAAGGCGACGAUCCGUAGCUGGUCUGAGAGGAUGAUCAGCCACACUGGAACUGAGACACGGUCCAGACUCCUACGGGAGGCAGCAGUGGGGAAUAUUGGACAAUGGGCGCAAGCCUGAUCCGGCCAUACCGCGUGGGUGAAGAAGGCCUUCGGUUGUAAAGCCCUUUUGUUGGAAAGAAAAGCAUUCGGUAAUACCCGGUGCUCUGACGGUACCCAAAGAAUAAGCACCGGCUAACUUCGUGCCGAGCGACGCCGAGUAUCG
rnacentral:rRNA from 1 species